rnacentral:rRNA from 1 species
UACGAAGGGGGCUAGCGUUGUUCGGAAUUACUGGGCGUAAAGCGCACGUAGGCGGAUAUUUAAGUCAGGGGUGAAAUCCCAGAGCUCAACUCUGGAACUGCCUUUGAUACUGGGUACCUUGAGUAUGGAAGAGGUGAGUGGAAUUCCGAGUGUAGAGGUGAAAUUCGUAGAUAUUCGGAGGAACACCAGUGGCGAAGGCGGCUCACUGGUCCAUUACUGACGCUGAGGUGCGAAAGCGUGGGGAGCAAACAGG